AAAAAAGGUAAGCUACUAAGAGCGAAUGGUGGAUGCCUUGACUGGUAAAGGCGAUGAAGGACGUACUAGACUGCGAUAAGCUACGGGGAGCUGUCAAGAAGCUUUGAUCCGUAGAUUUCCGAAUGGGGCAACCCAAUGUAUAGAGAUAUACAUUACCUAUAUAGGAGCGAACGAGGGGAAUUGAAACAUCUUAGUACCCUCAGGAAAAGAAAUCAAUAGAGAUUGCGUCAGUAGCGGCGAGCGAAAGCGCAAGAGGGCAAACCCAGUGCUUGCACUGGGGGUUGUAGGACUGUAAUGUGCAAGAGGUAAGUUUAGCAGAACAUUCUGGAAAGUAUAACCAUAGAGGGUGAUAGUCCCGUAUGCGAAAAACAAACCUUAGCUAGCAGUAUCCUGAGUAGGGCGGGACACGAGGAAUCCUGUCUGAAUCCGGGUCGACCACGAUCCAACCCUAAAUACUAAUACCAGAUCGAUAGUGCACAAGUACCGUGAGGGAAAGGUGAAAAGAACUGAGGUGAUCAGAGUGAAAUAGAACCUGAAACCAUUUGCUUACAAUCAUUCAGAGCCUUAUGUAGCAAUACAGGGUGAUGGACUGCCUUUUGCAUAAUGAGCCUGCGAGUUGUGGUGUCUGGCAAGGUUAAGCAAACGCGAAGCCGUAGCGAAAGCGAGUCUGAAUAGGGCGCUUAGUCAGAUGCUGCAGACCCGAAACGAAGUGAUCUAUCCAUGAGCAAGUUGAAGCUAGUGUAAGAACUAGUGGAGGACUGAACCCAUAGGCGUUGAAAAGCCCCGGGAUGACUUGUGGAUAGGGGUGAAAGGCCAAUCAAACUUCGUGAUAGCUGGUUCUCUCCGAAAUAUAUUUAGGUAUAGCGUUGUGUCGUAAUAUAAGGGGGUAGAGCACUGAAUGGGCUAGGGCAUACACCAAUGUACCAAACCCUAUCAAACUCCGAAUACCUUAUAUGUAAUCACAGCAGUCAGGCGGCGAGUGAUAAAAUCCGUCGUCAAGAGGGAAACAACCCAGACUACCAGCUAAGGUCCCUAAAUCUUACUUAAGUGGAAAACGAUGUGAAGUUACUUAAACAACCAGGAGGUUGGCUUAGAAGCAGCCAUCCUUUAAAGAAAGCGUAAUAGCUCACUGGUCUAGUGAUUUUGCGCGGAAAAUAUAACGGGGCUAAAGUAAGUACCGAAGCUGUAGACUUGCGCACAACUUAGAUUAUUUAAGUUUAGAAUAUGAGAAACUAAGUUAUAUGUUUAGUUAUAUUUUUACUGAUUUUUAUAGAGUAAAGAUAGAAAUAAAACUUAGUAAAAUCAGUAAAAAUAUUCUUAGACUAAAGUUAAGUAGUUUAAGUUGUGUGCAAGUGGUAGGAGAGCGUUCUAUUUGCGUCGAAGGUAUACCGGUAAGGAGUG
rnacentral:rRNA from 1 species